CCUACGGGAGGCAGCAGUGAGGAAUAUUGGUCAAUGGGCGAGAGCCUGAACCAGCCAAGUCGCGUGAAGGAUGACGGCUCUAUGGUUUGUAAACUUCUUUUAUAUGGGAAUAAAGUGAGGCACGUGUUCCUUUUUGUAUGUACCUUAUAAAUAAGCAUCGGCUAACUCCGUGCCAGCAGCCGCGGUAAUACGGAGGAUUCGAGCGUUAUCCGGAUUUAUUGGGUUUAAAGGGUGCGUAGGUGGGUAAUUAAGUCAGCGGUGAAAGUUUGUGGCUCAACCGUAAAAUUGCAGUUGAAACUGGUAGACUGGAGGAUAGUUGAGGUAGGCGGAAUGCGUGGUGUAGCGGUGAAAUGCAUAGAUAUCACGAAGAACUCCGAUUGCGAAGGCAGCUUACUAAACUAUAACUGACACUGAAGCACGAAAGCGUGGGGAUCAAACAGGAUUAGAUACCCGGGUAGUC
rnacentral:rRNA from 1 species